rnacentral:rRNA from 1 species
UACGGGGGGAGCAAGCGUUGUUCGGAAUCACUGGGCUUAAAGGGCGCGUAGGCGGGUUCGCAAGUCAGGGGUGAAAUCUUUCAGCUUAACUGGAAAACAGCCCCUGAUACUGCGAGUCUCGAGGGAGGUAGGGGCAUGUGGAACUUCCGGUGGAGCGGUGAAAUGCGUAGAUAUCGGAAGGAACGCCGGUGGCGAAAGCGACGUGCUGGACCUCUUCUGACGCUGAGGCGCGAAAGCUAGGGGAGCAAACGGG